rnacentral:snoRNA from 1 species
AACCCAUGAUGUGGACAUCUUCUACGCAAAUCUUUGAAUCGUUCCCAAGCCUCAUAUGAGGAUUCAUCAUUAAAUUGUGUGAAUGAAGUUAUAUCAUUCCUCAAUUU